GAACGGGUGAGUAACACGUGGGCAAUCUGCCCUUCACUCUGGGACAAGCCCUGGAAACGGGGUCUAAUACCGGAUAACACUUCCACUCGCAUGGGUGGAGGUUAAAAGCUCCGGCGGUGAAGGAUGAGCCCGCGGCCUAUCAGCUUGUUGGUGAGGUAAUGGCUCACCAAGGCGACGACGGGUAGCCGGCCUGAGAGGGCGACCGGCCACACUGGGACUGAGACACGGCCCAGACUCCUACGGGAGGCAGCAGUGGGGAAUAUUGCACAAUGGGCGAAAGCCUGAUGCAGCGACGCCGCGUGAGGGAUGACGGCCUUCGGGUUGUAAACCUCUUUCAGCAGGGAAGAAGCGAAAGUGACGGUACCUGCAGAAGAAGCGCCGGCUAACUACGUGCCAGCAGCCGCGGUAAUACGUAGGGCGCAAGCGUUGUCCGGAAUUAUUGGGCGUAAAGAGCUCGUAGGCGGUCUGUCGCGUCGGAUGUGAAAGCCCGGGGCUUAACCCCGGGUCUGCAUUCGAUACGGGCAGACUAGAGUGUGGUAGGGGAGAUCGGAAUUCCUGGUGUAGCGGUGAAAUGCNCAGAUAUCAGGAGGAACACCGGUGGCGAAGGCGGAUCUCUGGGCCAUUACUGACGCUGAGGAGCGAA
rnacentral:rRNA from 1 species